AACUUCACCCUUGUCUAAGCAAACCUACAGUUUCUUUCUCUUCUCUCUUAACUUCUCUCUAUUUCCUUCCCCCCACUCUCUCACCUACCAUGAACCAUACCCACUUCACCAAAUGGGUUGGCUGCAAGCCCUCUUCUCUCCAUUGAAGAAGGUCUGGGUUCGUCUGCAUUCAGCCCACAAAAAGAGUAGAGGGAUAUACAUUCUAUAUGAGGAUGUCAAGUCCUGCCCUUGUGAAGAUGUGCAUGUCCUGUGGUCAAUUUUGGUGGAUCAAACACACCUGCCUUACCAGCAAAACAAUGAAGGCUAGAAGGUCUGGAAAGAAACUAAAGGAAGGAGGAGGCAUUGUGUAUAUAUAAUACUUACUUAAGAUCUCAUACAUGCUCAUCUCUAUUGGCUUCUUUCCUCUUUCAACCCAGGCACCACUUUAUGUUUUUUUUUUUUUUUCCCUUUUAUUUCCAAGUUUUCCAUGAUCUGUAAUUAGAAUUUUAGCAGAUGGGCAUCUUAUAAUUAAAAGAUUUUGUUUUGCUCUCAAUCUUGAAGCGCUUUUUUUUUCAGAACACUAGUCAUAAUAUGAAUUGUUGUU